rnacentral:rRNA from 1 species
AUUGAACGCUGGCGGCAGGCCUAACACAUGCAAGUCGAACGAGUGGCGGACGGGUGAGCUAUGUCUGGGAAAGUUCGUGAUGGAUGACGAUAACUACUGGAAACGGUAGCUAAUACCGCAUAACAUCAGCUGUGCCGAGAUGGGAUUAGCUUGUGGGUGGGGUAACGGCUCACCAAGGCGACGAUCCCUAGCUGGUCUGAGAGGAUGACCAGCCACACUGGAACUGAGACACGGUCCAGACUCCUACGGGAGGCAGCAGUGGGGAAUAUUGGACAAUGGGCGCAAGCCUGAUGCAGCCAUGCCGCGUGUAUGAAGAAGGUCUUCGGGUUGUAAAGUACUUUCAGCUGGGAGGCGUUACCCGCAGAAGAAGCACCGGCUAACUCCGUGCCAGCAGCCGCGGUAAUUC